rfam:Triticum aestivum genome assembly, contig: Triticum_aestivum_CS42_TGACv1_scaffold_374000_5AL
GAAUUUUUGAUUAACUCAUGUGGGUAAAAGAUCUUGAAUUCAUAUGCCAUAUUGGAAG